GUAGGGAAUAUUGGGCAAUGGUCGGAAGACUGACCCAGCCAUGCCGCGUGCAGGAAGACGGCCCUCUGGGUUGUAAACUGCUUUUAUCUGGGAAGAAAAAGGCCAUGCGUGGCAAAUUGCCGGUACCAGAUGAAUAAGCACCGGCUAACUCCGUGCCAGCAGCCGCGGUAAUACGGAGGGUGCGAGCGUUGUCCGGAUGUAUUGGGGUUAAAGGGUGUGUAGGCGGCUGAUUAAGUCAGCGGUGAAAGACUUCGGCUUAACCGGAGCAGUGCCGUUGAUACUGGUUGGCUUGAGUGUCGGAGGGGUACAUGGAAUUGAUGGUGUAGCGGUGAAAUGCAUAGAUACCAUCAGGAACACCGAUAGCGAAGGCAUUGUACUGGACGACAACUGACGCUGAUGCACGAAAGUGUGGGGAUCGAACAGGAUUAGAAACCCCGGUAGCC
rnacentral:rRNA from 1 species